UUUUAAAGAAACUCAAGCCGAUGUUCACCGCAAUCAAACAGAUAACUUCUUUGAUGAUUUUAUCGACUUGAGUCAACCCGAAUUGGAAUUCCUGGGGGAAGUUGAAACUCAGAACCGCGUGGUCCAGAAAAAUCCGGCCGUCUUCACCGGACCUCUGAGCGUCGCUGCUCCGCCCGGCUCCGCUUCCAAGCAGGGAAAACUCAGAAAGACGCUCCACCAGGAUCAGUCC